GACUCCAUGAUGAAGGCAAGUCAUUAGAAUUGAUUGAUGAGGCUCUACGGGAAUCAUGCCUACUAAAUUGAAAUGUUGUGAUCAAUCCAUGUGGGUCUUUUAUGUGUGCAAGAAAGUCCAGAGGAUAGGCCAAGCAUGUCAUCUAUAGUUCUGAUGUUGGGCAGUGAAACUGCAUAGCCUGGCUUCUUCACUGCAAGAAAUGUUCUUCAGACUGGUUUUUCGUCAAGCAAGGAAGCAACAACUACGGGCAAUGAAAUCACCAUUAAUCUGUUAAGUGCUCAAUAGAAAUUAUACCAUGUAUAAGGUGAAAGCUUAAUCAUUGUUUUUGGUUACAAGUUUACAUGCACGAUUCCCCUCCCCCUCCCCCU